GCUCACAGACGAGGAGGCGAUGGAGCGCAUCGAGACCUGCUGACGAUCUGCACCACCAGCAGCAAUAGAGCCCCGAGGCAAUAUUGUAUCCAGGAAAGGAAGGGGAGCUCUUCGAUUGAUUUUGUAGUUUUGGAAUCUCGUGAAAGAGCUAGACAAACGAGCUUGACAAAGUGAGAGAGAGAGAGAGAGAGAGAGAGAGAGAGAAAGAAAAGAGUGCUUGUACAGCUCAUGGAGGUGCUGCUGCGGGUUUGGGUUGUUUGAUUGGAGUUUCACAUGUGAGGGUAGCGCACUAAAGAGGUUCCAGCGUCGAGGAUCCAAGGUUGAGAGAGCAAUUUGAUGUCAGUAGUGAAGGCAACUCAUAUCAACCUGCUCAAGAAAUGAAUGCAUGAGGAGGAUACACGGAAUAGUUGAAACAUAACUGAUGGCCAACCUGGAGGCCUGGGGCUGGGCUGGGGUAUACCACUUAUGGAAAUCAUAGCUGUGGUGUCUUUAUAUAAAAUGCUUCAGCGUGUGCGUGUUUCCCUAAUACUACUUGCACAUGACAAUUUACUGCGUGUGCAUCUAGAAACCUCUCCAAGAUUGCUUUCUGCAACUUUUUGACAGAUAUGGGGAGUUCAUUGAUGGGUACAUAGACUCUGAGAUGUUCAACUUGUAACAUUAUUCCCACUCCACUGCGAAUUUGGUACUGGGCAUCGAUAUUACUCGUUGAGAAGGUUAGAGGCCGUUAAUGCAGGACGGUUUGGAGGUAUUUUGCUUGAAAUGCAAGUAGCAAUAUUCGACAGUGUUUUACGGAUGCAUUGGCUAUUUUGCAGAGUUCUAAAUGGUUUGCAAGCUGUGGCAGCUACUUUUCAACAGGUAUGUAACCUUCAGCCUUGUAUUUGAUGAUCUCUGUCUGAAUGGAAUAAUAAUCGUUCAACCUAAACCUUACGAUUGAAUUGGAAAUUGUGGGCAUCGAAAUUCACCUUGGAAUUCCAAAAACGUAAGGAAUACGUUCGAUGUAUUGUUAAGUGACUUUUAGGACCAUGUGGCAUCUAAAUGCUCAACAUGCUUGUGUUUGUUUUCAAAACUGGGUUGUCAGACAUUUGUUGUUUAACUACAUGUUACAGACGAUGGAACUGCUCUUGUGAAGAAGGCUGCAGAUGCAGCCAUUAACAAAAAGGUCGAACUCGCAAUAUCUUUCCUGCUUAUAUUUUAUCUAGUGUAUUGUAAUUGUUGUGCAGCAUGCAAUUGAUUAUGCAGUCCUCUGGUUUUCCCUGUAUUUUUUGUUGUCUGUUGGACUUCGUGCAGGCUGACAAGAAAGAUUCUAUUGAAGUACAAGACCAAAGAAAAAUCGAAGGAUAGGUCUAGUUUUGUGUGGUUCCUUCAUUCGACGACUCGGUGGUAUAUAACAAGUAGUAAAUUUUGUGGUUGUAUAUCGUAUCUCGAAGUUCUUAGGGAUGGCAUUGUGAAACCCACCACUUUGAAAGGUGCUGCCGCAGUUGGAAAGAGGUUUCAAUGCAUUUCAUUGGUGGUGGAGUUUGAUGAAUUGGAGAUUCUCAUGCAUCUCUAGUUUUUCAUCACGGGCCUUUGAACGAAAGUUGAUCCAGUUUCAUGAGAAGUAUCAACAUUAUGUCAACGAGUGUUUUGUCAAUCAUUCCCUUUCUCUCAAGACCUUGAAAGUGGCUUUUGAAGUCUGCUGCAACAAGAAAGUUGCAGGAUGCAAAAGUGGAACAAUUUACUGAACAAAGGUGGAAGUAAAAAAGAUGGGUGACUAAACAACUGAAGAAACACAUGAACAGGAAUUGGUUUGUAAGAUACAGACAGACGGACAUACAACUCAUGUUUAAUCUUCGGAACUCAUCUCUACGCUAAUCAACAAGGGUUUGAUCCUCCAGGAGCCCAACGACCUCCUGCAUUGUUACUCUUGGUUCGAGUUGGGGUGAUCCUUCUCUCUCUCUUCAUUGGAUCACCCCAACUUCAUUGUAGAAGUAUGUUUUCUCUUGCACUCAUGUAAUCAGCUUUAAAUGGAAGAGUGCAAGUGGUCAAGCUUCUUGCUCACAUCAAUGAUAAGGAUUUGUUGGCAGAGCUUUACAGGAAAUCUUUACUUGGCACCCUUCUGACGCCCUUUUGUUAAUUACGGACUAUCUUAUCCACUCUGUAUUGCUUUGACGAGCUUAAUUUUCAUCUGUAAUACAUUUUCAUUUCCAACAUCUGUUUGUCAUACAUUUUCUUUUUCAACUCAUUUCAUCAACUCAUUUCUAUUUACUGCAAGGUCUGACGAUGUCUUCCUUUAACUGCUGCAGGGAAAAAGGCUGCCUAGAAGGUGCUUUUUGAUAAUAGAGCCAAGUUUUCCAAUCUGGCGUUACAAGCAAAGACGAUCAGUGUCGAGUUCAACUCCACUUUUCAUCUCUUCAUACAAAUCUAUAUUCAAUUUGGCUAUAUUUAUUCAUAGUGUAUUGUUUCUUAGUGUUUGUUUUGGGGCAAUUUGCUGCACAUGCGUAAAGUUGAUGUCAAUAAAAGACAACCACGUUCCCUCUC